UAGAAGUGUUGAGUUUGGCUUUUUGA
rnacentral:piRNA from 1 species